AUGGCAUGGAGCUGUGUCACCUUGUUCCUGAUGUCAGUAAUUACAGGUGUUUAUUCCCAAGUCCAACUGCAGCAGUCUGGUCCUGAACUAGGGAAACCUGGGGCCUUGGUGAAGUUGUCCUGCAAGGCUUCAGGCUACAACUUUGCUAGCUAUCAUAUACACUGCAUGAAACAGAAGUCUGGACAGUGCAUAGAGUGGAUAGGACAUGUUUAUCCUGAAAAUGGUGGUAUUGGCUACAAUCAGAAGUUCCAGGGCAAGGCCAAACUGACUAUAGACAAAUCCUCCAGCACAGCCUACAUGGAGCUCAGCAGCCUGACAUCUGAGGACUCUGCAGUCUAUUACUGUGCAAGAGACAUAUAGUGUUGCAACCACAACCUAAGUUUGUCA